AGGAAUUUAGGUUAACCUAGACCCAGGGCCUUCAAAGCCCUAAGUAAGUAUUUACACUUAAUUCCUG
rnacentral:tRNA from 1 species